rnacentral:rRNA from 1 species
AGCAGCCGCGGUAAUUCCAGAUCCAAUAGCGUAUAUUAAAGUUGUCGCAGUUAAAAAGCUCGUAGUUGAAUUUCGGGAUCAAUAUGUCGGUCGUGCCUUCGGUACGCACUGGUAUCAUUGGUUUCUCCUUUCUGACGAACCAUGAUGUCAUUAAUUUGGUGUUAUGGGGAGUUAGGACUGUUACUUUGAAAAAAUUAGAGUGUUUAAAGCAGGCUUUAGCUUGAAUACAUUAGCAUGGAAUAAUGAAAUAGGACGUUCGAACCUAUUUUGUUGGUUUCUAGGAUCAACGUAAUGAUUAAUAGGGAUAGUUGGGGGCAUUAGUAUUCAAUUGUCAGAGGUGAAAUUCUUGGAUUUAUUGAAGACUAACUACUGCGAAAGCAUUUGCCAAGGAUGUUUUCAUUAAUCAAGAACGAAAGUUAGGGGAUCGAAGACGAUCAGAUACCGUCGUAGUCUUAACCAUAAACUAUGCCGACUAGGGAUCGGAUGAUGUUAAUUUUUUAAUGACUCA